GGGCUAAUAGAAACUUGAAAGAGAUCGUUCAAUUCCUGCUGGCCAAUUCCAGGAUUAAUUACCGGAUCAGAAAGUCUUUACUCAGUACGACUAU